CCGUUAUCUAAACGCACUGGGCUCUACAGCCGCAGAGCAGCCAGAAGAUAACCAGCCGCGUCGGAUGCUACUUAGAAAGCAUUUUGUUCCCGAUUAAAGCCCAAACAUGAGCUAAGAGCCAUCGAAGGAAAGUGCAGAGCACUUGAUUUCCCCUCCUUUGCUAACACACUCAGAGAAAGAGGGGCAAAAUGUACCUGAAGCUACAGGGAACUUCUUCUCCAUGCUCUCACAUGGUUUCACCAUGAGGUCAACCAGUUAGCCAUGAGUCCAGCUGCUCAGGAAUGAGAGGGGCCUCUAGCCAUCCACACCGCCCGAGGUGCGCUGCCUCAUGUUGGAAGGAAAGCUGGAGACCAGCAUCUGAAGGAACACAGAAUGCCUUUCAGCAUGCAGCCAGCUGCCAAAACUAUGGGAAAGGACCUUCUCAAGAGGAGUAGCAUGUUGAUCUUAGCUCGAGUAGCUCUUCUGAGGUGGAAUUGGUAAGGGACCAGUCUUUGGAGCAACUCAGCAGCAGAUUUGAGGCAACAUUUUUCACCUCUGCUGAGAUAGCUGGGAACUUCCAAUUCUAUUCUACCUGUUCUUCCAGGAACGUGGUGAGGCAAGUGGAAACUUAUCUCCACUUGGGAGAAGAGGGUGGGGGGCAUUGCAUGAGUAUUAAAACAUAAAGU